rnacentral:rRNA from 1 species
AGAGUUUGAUCCUGGCUCAGGACGAACGCUGGCGGCACGCUUAACACAUGCAAGUCGAACGAGAGAAGAGGAGCUUGCUUUUCUGAUCUAGUGGCGGACGGGUGAGUAACACGUGAGCAAUCUGCCUUUCAGAGGGGGAUACCGAUUGGAAACGAUCGUUAAUACCGCAUAACAUAAUUGAACCGCAUGAUUUGAUUAUCAAAGAUUUAUCGCUGAAAGAUGAGCUCGCGUCUGAUUAGCUAGUUGGUAAGGUAACGGCUUACCAAGGCGACGAUCAGUAGCCGGACUGAGAGGUUGAUCGGCCACAUUGGGACUGAGACACGGCCCAGACUCCUACGGGAGGCAGCAGUGGGGAAUAUUGCACAAUGGAGGAAACUCUGAUGCAGCGAUGCCGCGUGAGGGAAGAAGGUUUUAGGAUUGUAAACCUCUGUCUUCAGGGACGAAAAAAGACGGUACCUGAGGAGGAAGCUCCGGCUAACUACGUGCCAGCAGCCGCGGUAAUACGUAGGGAGCGAGCGUUGUCCGGAAUUACUGGGUGUAAAGGGAGCGUAGGCGGGAUCGCAAGUCAGAUGUGAAAACUAUGGGCUUAACCCAUAAACUGCAUUUGAAACUGUGGUUCUUGAGUGAAGUAGAGGUAAGCGGAAUUCCUAGUGUAGCGGUGAAAUGCGUAGAUAUUAGGAGGAACAUCAGUGGCGAAGGCGGCUUACUGGGCUUUAACUGACGCUGAGGCUCGAAAGCGUGGGGAGCAAACAGGAUUAGAUACCCUGGUAGUCCACGCCGUAAACGAUGAUUACUAGGUGUGGGGGGACUGACCCCUUCCGUGCCGCAGCAAACGCAAUAAGUAAUCCACCUGGGGAGUACGACCGCAAGGUUGAAACUCAAAGGAAUUGACGGGGGCCCGCACAAGCAGUGGAGUAUGUGGAUUAAUUCGAAGCAACGCGAAGAACCUUACCAGGUCUUGACAUCGUAUGCAUAGCUCAGAGAUGAGUGAAAUCUCUUCGGAGACAUAUAGACAGGUGGUGCAUGGUUGUCGUCAGCUCGUGUCGUGAGAUGUUGGGUUAAGUCCCGCAACGAGCGCAACCCUUACUGUUAGUUGCUACGCAAGAGCACUCUAGCAGGACUGCCGUUGAAAAACGGAGGAAGGUGGGGAUGACGUCAAAUCAUCAUGCCCCUUAUGACCUGGGCCUCACACGUACUACAAUGGCUGUCAACAGAGGGAAGCAAAGCCGCGAGGUGGAGCGAACCCCUAAAAGCAGUCUUAGUUCGGAUUGUAGGCUGCAACCCGCCUACAUGAAGUCGGAAUUGCUAGUAAUCGCAGAUCAGCAUGCUGCGGUGAAUACGUUCCCGGGCCUUGUACACACCGCCCGUCACGCCAUGGGAGUCGGUAACACCCGAAGCCUGUAGUCUAACCGCAAGGAGGACGCAGUCGAAGGUGGGAUUGAUGACUGGGGUGAAGUCGUAACAAGGUA